rnacentral:lncRNA from 1 species
UUAUAGGUUUUCAUCAUAUAAUCAUCAUACAUACUAGAUAAUGGAUCAAUCAUCAAGAUGUAUAGCUACUAGCAUGCAUAUAUAAGCAAUAACCAUAACCAUCUAGCACCUAUAUGCAAUAAAUACAAUAUGCAACUUGAUCGAUUAAUGUAUUCAACUACAGUUUAAUCCAUAUUAAUCAUGCCCUUAUAGGGUUUCACCACACUAAGUCCCAAUCUCAUGCAUACUAGGUAUAAGUAUUAAUCAAGUAACACUACACUCCCACUAGCAUGCCAUGACAUGUAACAAUUGCCAACUAGUACCCUAUAAUGCAAUAUCCCAAUAUGCAACUUGAUCAAUGUUAACUAGAGUUUCUAGUACAACAACCAAUCCAUUACUAGUUCAAGUCAUAUGUGUUUUUAGCACAAUGAGUUCAAUGCCACUUGUAAGCUAUGUUUUAAAUACAACACUAGGUGUUCAUUCAACUAGAGUCUAUCAACAUUAAUCUUGUCAUUAUAGGGUUUCACAACACUAUGUCCCAAUCACAUGCAUACUAGAUUCAAAUGUUAUAUCUAGCAAGCUACAUUAACACUAGCAUGCAAAUAUAGAUACAAGUUUCUAAACACCCUAUAUGCAACAUCAUAAUAUGCAACUUGAUCAAUGACAGUUUAAAGUUUCCAAUGCAAUAGCCAAUACAUUACUAAGUUCUCAUCCACACCUAUCAUCUCAUUAUAGAGUUUCACAUCACAUAUAUAUAAACCUCAAGCAUGCUAGAUAUAAGCACUAAGCCCAAUACAUUACUCUUUCAAGAAGCAUGCAAUAU